UGCCGCGUGAGUGAAGAAGGCCUUCGGGUUGUAAAGCUCUUUUGUCAGGGAAGAAACGGUGAGGGCUAAUAUCCUUUGCUAAUGACGGUACCUGAAGAAUAAGCACCGGCUAACUACGUGCCAGCAGCCGCGGUAAUACGUAGGGUGCAAGCGUUAAUCGGAAUUACUGGGCGUAAAGCGUGCGCAGGCGGUUAUGUAAGUCAGAUGUGAAAUCCCCGGGCUCAACCUGGGAAUGGCAUUUGAGACUGCAUGGCUAGAGUGUGUCAGAGGGGGGUAGAAUUCCACGUGUAGCAGUGAAAUGCGUAGAGAUGUGGAGGAAUACCGAUGGCGAAGGCAGCCCCCUGGGAUAACACUGACGCUCAUGCACGAAAGCGUGGGGAGCAAACAGGAUUAGAUACCCUGGUAGUCCACGCCCUAAACGAUGUCUACUAGUUGUCGGGACUUAAUUGUCUUGGUAACGCAGCUAACGCGUGAAGUAGACCGCCUGGGGAGUACGGUCGCAAGAUUAAAACUCAAAGGAAUUGACGGGGACCCGCACAAGCGGUGGAUGAUGUGGAUUAAUUCGAUGCAACGCGAAAAACCUUACCUACCCUUGACAUGUACGGAACCUCUGAGAGAUU
rnacentral:rRNA from 1 species